UACGGAGGGUGCAAACGUUGCUCGGAAUCAUUGGGCGUAAAGCGAACGUAGGCGGCUAUGUAAGUCGGGUGUGAAAGCCCUCGGCUCAACCGAGGAAGUGCAUUCGAAACUGCAUGGCUUGAGUAUCGGAGAGGAUAGCGGAAUUCCCGGUGUAGAGGUGAAAUUCGUAGAUAGUCGGGAGGAACACCGGGUGGCGAAGGCGGCGAUCUGGGGUCGAUACUGACGCUGAGGUGCGAAAGCGUGGGGAGCAACAGG
rnacentral:rRNA from 1 species